rnacentral:rRNA from 1 species
CCCUUAGAUGUCCUGGGCUGCACGCGCGCUACACUGAUGUGUCCAGUAAGCACCUAACCUCUUCCGAAAGGAACGGGUAUCCUUUGCAAAGCACAUCGUGAUGGGGAUAGAUUAUUGCAAUUAUUAGUCUUGAACGAGGAAUUCCUAGUAAGCACAAGUCAUCAGCUUGUGUUGAUUACGUCCCUGCCCUUUGUACACACCGCCCGUCGCUCCUACCGAUUGAAUGUUCCGGUGAGCUCUUCGGACUGCGCGGUCUGCAGUUUCUGCGUUCCGUGCGGAAAGUUGCGCAAACCUUAACAUUUAGAGGAAGGAGAAGUCGUAACA